UAAUAAUUUGAAUAUUACAAAUUAUAAAAUUAUACUAAAAAAACAAAAAAAAAAUUUGAAAAAAAAAAAGAAAACGUUAUACAAAAAGAGAAUAUGUAUGUAAAUUGCACGGAAAUGUAAUCGAAAUAUAUGUAAGGUGUUGUAUAUAGAAUGAAUAAAUAUCACACGAUGGUCGCUCUGAUGGUGCGACGAUGGACUUCCAACUAGGUGCGAGACGUGGCCAGGGAAGGCAAGAACAAAAGUCGGCAUACCGCUGAUGGGAAGAGGAACGAUUCGGCAUCCCAGCCGGUUGUUCAGGAUGGAUGGACGACGAGUCAUGCGGAAGGUCGAUGGUCAAUGGUGUUGGGUGCUGGGCAGGACGAAGCGAAAACAACAAGAAGCAAUUCGGGAAUCGUGAUCACCAUCUGAUCCUAAGGACACUGAAGUGAAAGUAGUAGAAUUCAUGAUGGAACUGGAUUUCAUAAUUGGAGUAAUGACUUUGUACACUUUACGUUGAAGUAAAAGAUUACAACAGUCUAAAAAAAUAAUGAUUAUUUAUCGCCGGAAACUGAUGAUAAAGAGAAUAACUCGGAUCCAGAUAAGGAUGAACAGGAUCUAAAAUAAGGAUCAAAGAUGAACUGGAAGAGAUGACAUUUAAUGAUUGGAGAGCCUAAACUGCUAUAAUAGCAAACACUACAAUCGGAGCAGCAAAUGAAGCUCUAAAACUAGCAAACAAAAACAAGUUCUUGAAGUUGAAUUUCAUUCCAACGAAGAUGUGAUGGACUAAAGUACCGUUCUAAAAGGUUGUUCAGGAAUGGAACCCAGAGACACGCAACAGUGGAUCAAGACGGAUGAGACGGCGCAACGCGGAAGGAGGCAAGCGGCAACUCACACCUAGUACCAGAGACCAACCAAUUGACGAGUCACCAGUCGACGGAUAUACGGAGCGGAAGAGGAGUAGCCGGUGAACAAUGAGAAUCUUAUAUAAAAUAAAAAUUAUAGAGUUUAUGCAAAUGUUUGAAAAAAAAAACAAAACAUUAUAUUUACAAAUAUAUAUUAUAUUUACAUUAUAUUAUAUUUACAAUUAGGAAAAAAAAAAAAAAAAAAAAAAUACACAUUCAUAUAUAAAAAAAAAAUCUAUUGCAAUAUAUAAGUUAUCAACACAGUCAACCAAUCUUCAGUAUCGACCAACGCCAACAUUACUUAUCAGCAGGUUCUAGCGCUUAAGUAAACACUUAAGCAUAAAUAACGCCAUGUGGUAAAUGCGACCGACGAACAAUUAUGCAGCCACAGAUAAGGACUCGAGUCGACACCAUAAAACGGUUAAACAUUCUUUCUGAGAAGAAGGAAGAAGGGAAACAUAGAGAUAGGCAGAUAGGGUAGAUUAUAAGCUAGCUUUGUACAUGAAAUAGAAAAUAAAGAUCAGUCUUGUCGUAACCUUAACAGGAGCAACAUAGCUCACUAGUUUUAGUUUUCAUUAUCCGAAAUUCUUUCGCUAUUUAACUGGCGCAGUCGGUAGGAUAGUGUUUUAAGUGUUCGCGAAACGUUAGUUUAAUUUCAGCAAUUGCGCCUGCGCGAACGAAUAUCGUGUAGUGGUGAUUAAUCUGACGAAACCGGACGCAACACUAGUUCCAGCUCUAAAAAUCAGCUAUACAAGUAUGCAGCUUGAUUCUGCUGAAGCUAUGUCUGUAAAAAACAGCAUUAUGCUGCACAUCAUGAAAUAUUUCAAUGAUGUAGGAAAAAGAAAACUUUUUGCGGUCGCAACGCUUCUUGAUCCCCGAUUCAAGAAAAUACAUUUUGAAAGUCCUCUCACGGUGGCCCCCGCUAUUUCAUGGGUUGGGGAACUUGUCAGAACAGCUGCGGAAGAGUCACCUGAAUUCGAAUACGAUCUUCGGAUAUCAGGAGAGCCAGAAACAAACACCACUACCGACGACUUGUGGGCGAUUCAUGAUUCCAUGGUAGCUGAAAGCAAUCGCGUGCAUGGAGAUGACAGCGCCGGAGGAAUUCCCAUUGAACUGAGGCAGUAUUUAAAUACUACAGUCGCUCCGAGGACCUGUGACCCACUUAUAGUGUGGAAUGAAAUACGAGCACAGUAUCCAAACGUGCAUAAAAUAGCUAUGCAAUUUUUAUGUAAUUCAGCGACGUCUGUUCCUUCGGAACGUUUGUUCUCGAAAGCAGGGCAGAUAAUGACUAAGCAAAGAAACCGCUUGUCCGGUUCUAACUUAGACAUGAUAUUAUUCCUACAAUCGAUCGAUGAAAAUGUUUGGUUUUCGUAAAGGUGCGAGAUAGCUGAAAAAUUGCGAUAUUACGUUGCAUCGUUUUAGUGUCUACUGCACAGAGAAAGACACCAAAACGAUUCAACGUAAAAUCGAAAUUUUUCACCGCUUUCGCAGCUUUUUGCGGAACUGUGCGAUAAAUGUAUACAGGAAAUCCUGUUUUUGAGCGAUCCUUUUUUGUACGAUUUCUCGUUUGUACGACCCUUUUUGCGCGAUUUUAUUAUCUGAGCGAAUAGAUUGUGUGAUCUAAGUUCUGAUUUGAUAAUAAAAUGGCACAGAAAGGGUCGCACAAACGAGAAAUCGAACAAAAAAGUACCGCACAAAAACAGGUU